rnacentral:rRNA from 1 species
GACGAACGCUGGCGGCGUGCUUAACACAUGCAAGUCGAACGGAAAGGCCUCUUUCGGGGGGUACUCGCGUGGCGAACGGGUGAGUAACACGUGAGUAUCCUGCGCUUUACUUUGGGAUAUAUUCAGGAAACUGGGGCUAAUACCGCAUAUGAGCUCCUGCUGCAUGGUGGGUGUUGGAAAGUUUCGGCGGUUGGGGAUGGGCUCGCGGCCUAUCAGCUUGUUGGUGGGGUAGUGGCUUACCAAGGCUUUGACGGGUAGCCGGCCUGAGAGGGUGACCGGCCACAUUGGGGGUGAGAGACGGCCAAGACGCCUACGGGAGGCAGCAGUGGGGAAUAUUGCACAAUGGGCGCAAGCCUGAUGCAGCGACGCCGCGUGGGGGAUGACGGCCUUCGGGGUGUAAACGCCUUUCGCUAGGGACGAAGCGUUUUGUGACGGUACCUGGAGAAGAAGCACCGGCUAACUACGUG